CAAUCGGCCCUUUUAAGGGCCACCAAUCUGCUUUGGAAAAAAGAAAU
rfam:Daphnia pulex DAPPTscaffold_6_Cont425, whole genome shotgun sequence.